rnacentral:lncRNA from 1 species
AAACGUACAACAUGCUACUAUACCUCAAUAAUUAGAAUAAAUGCAUGAAUAUAAUAAUGUACUCUACUAACAUGAUAUUAUCACUACAACAAAAGCGGUCUAUAGCGACACUUUUAAAUGUCGGUACAGGUCAAAGAAAGUGCUGCUGGCUAAAUUACCGACACUUUUAAAAAGUGUUGCUAUAUGUGGGGUCGCUAGGUAUAUAGUGACAGUUAAAGAGUGUCGCUAUAAGCUAAAAAGAGUGCUGUUAAUUUACCAACACUUAUUUAAGCAUUUAGCAACUGCCGAAACUCUACCUCGUUACUGCGGUGGCUGAGGAGGAGGAGAGGGAAGGGCUUUUGGUCUAGAAUUUCAGUGGAUUGAGUGAGGGGAGAAGGAAAGAUGGUAAUCGAUUUUUCUUUUUUUUUUUAUUUUCUGUUUGUAAUCGGGCCAAACGGGUUGGGUGGGGUGGGUUGAGUAGAGUAACCUUUUAUUUUUGGUUGGAUUGGGCUUUAUAUUUAGGCAUUAGUAUAUUUUUAAAAAAAAUUUGGCAUAAAUGGGACNGGGUUGAGUAGAGUAACCUUUUAUUUUUGGUUGGAUUGGGCUUUAUAUUUAGGCAUUAGUAUAUUUUUAAAAA